GGUCAAGUGAAGAAGCGCAUACGGUGGAUGCCUUGGCAGUCAGAGGCGAUGAAAGACGUGGUAGCCUGCGAAAAGCUUCGGGGAGUCGGCAAACAGACUUUGAUCCGGAGAUGUCUGAAUGGGGGAACCCAGCCAUCAUAAGAUGGUUAUCUUGUACUGAAUACAUAGGUGCAAGAAGCGAACCAGGGGAACUGAAACAUCUAAGUACCCUGAGGAAAAGAAAUCAACCGAGAUUCCCUUAGUAGUGGCGAGCGAACGGGGACUAGCCCUUAAGUGGCUUUGAGAUUAGCGGAACGCUCUGGAAAGUGCGGCCAUAGUGGGUGAUAGCCCUGUACGCGAAAAUCUCUUAGUCAUGAAAUCGAGUAGGACGGAGCACGAGAAACUUUGUCUGAAUAUGGGGGGACCAUCCUCCAAGGCUAAAUACUACUGACUGACCGAUAGUGAACUAGUACCGUGAGGGAAAGGCGAAAAGAACCCCGGAGAGGGGAGUGAAAUAGAUCCUGAAACCGUAUGCGUACAAGCAGUGGGAGCCCACUUUGUUGGGUGACUGCGUACCUUUUGUAUAAUGGGUCAGCGACUUAUUUUCAGUGGCGAGCUUAACCGAAUAGGGGAGGCGUAGCGAAAGCGAGUCUUAAUAGGGCGUCUAGUCGCUGGGAAUAGACCCGAAACCGGGCGAUCUAUCCAUGGGCAGGUUGAAGGUUGGGUAACACUAACUGGAGGACCGAACCGACUACCGUUGAAAAGUUAGCGGAUGACCUGUGGAUCGGAGUGAAAGGCUAAUCAAGCUCGGAGAUAGCUGGUUCUCCUCGAAAGCUAUUUAGGUAGCGCCUCAUGUAUCACUGUAGGGGGUAGAGCACUGUUUCGGCUAGGGGGUCAUCCCGACUUACCAAACCGAUGCAAACUCCGAAUACCUACAAGUGCCGAGCAUGGGAGACACACGGCGGGUGCUAACGUCCGUCGUGAAAAGGGAAACAACCCAGACCGUCAGCUAAGGUCCCAAAGUUAUGGUUAAGUGGGAAACGAUGUGGGAAGGCUUAGACAGCUAGGAGGUUGGCUUAGAAGCAGCCACCCUUUAAAGAAAGCGUAAUAGCUCACUAGUCGAGUCGGCCUGCGCGGAAGAUGUAACGGGGCUCAAACCAUACACCGAAGCUACGGGUAUCACGUAAGUGAUGCGGUAGAGGAGCGUUCUGUAAGCCUGUGAAGGUGAGUUGAGAAGCUUGCUGGAGGUAUCAGAAGUGCGAAUGCUGACAUGAGUAACGAUAAUGGGUGUGAAAAACACCCACGCCGAAAGACCAAGGUUUCCUGCGCAACGUUAAUCGACGCAGGGUUAGUCGGUCCCUAAGGCGAGGCUGAAAAGCGUAGUCGAUGGAAAACAGGUUAAUAUUCCUGUACUUCUGGUUAUUGCGAUGGAGGGACGGAGAAGGCUAGGCCAGCUUGGCGUUGGUUGUCCAAGUUUAAGGUGGUAGGCUGGAAUCUUAGGUAAAUCCGGGAUU
rnacentral:rRNA from 1 species